UGGGGAAUAUUGCACAAUGGGGGAAACCCGUGAUGCAGCGACGCCGCGUGGGUGAAGAAGUAUUUCGGUAUGUAAAGCCCUAUCAGCAGGGAAGAAAAUGACGGUACCUGAUCAAGAAGCCCUGGCUAACUACGUGCC
rnacentral:rRNA from 1 species